rfam:Eubacterium sp. CAG:38 genomic scaffold, scf9
CAGUGAAGUAGAGGUCGCGUUAUUCAUCAGUACGUUGGUAAGAUGUGCCAGACACAGGUGAAACCAAAAGAAAGGGGAUGACGCCGAAGUGGAAGAUUACUGGAGGUCUUCUGCUGGGCGUAAGAUUAAGAGUCUUGCGACUGUCAUCUUUAGAUGGAGGGCUACUUAAAGA